CAGGGAGACAACAAAAUGUUAAAUAUUAAUUUUGUCACCUUAGGUCGAUCGGUAUCUCACAUUCUUAAUUUAUUAAGGAUUUUAUUUCCUAAGUUUUUUCUAGGUCACACCCAUUACUUUUCCUGGGCCAUUAGCUCAGGUGGUUAGAGCGCACCCCUGAUAAGGGUGAGGUCCCUGGUUCAAGUCCAGGAUGGCCCAUAUCUCUAUGUUGGGGGUAUAGCUCAGUUGGUAGAGCGCCUGCUUUGCAAGCAGGAUGUCAGCGGUUCGAGUCCGCUUACCUCCACUGAUUACCACCUCUCCCAUAAUUUUUUGAAGGGAAAUGUUUUGAGUAGUGAUCAAUUCUGAACGAAUCUAGCUUCCUAAUCAAAUUAAUUAAGAUGCUGGACUCAUUGAAUUAAUUUCAUUGUUUUCAGAGAACCUUGACAACUGCAUAGAUUAUUUUAAAGACAAUAAGCAUCUUUAAUGAUGCAGAUUUAUUAUUUGUGCGAAUGCAUUAAUAACAAUUCUAUUAAGCUGAUGCUUCAAUUUUUGAAGUUAUU
rnacentral:tRNA from 1 species